rnacentral:tRNA from 1 species
UGCUAUGGCUCAGUAGGCAGAGCACUUCCUUGGUAAGGAAGAGGUCACCGGUUCGAAUCCGGUUAGC